UACGUAGGGUGCAAGCGUUGUCGGAAUUAUUGGGCGUAAAGAGCUCGUAGGCGGUUUGUUGCGUCGGCUGUGAAAUCCCGAGGCUCAACCUCGGGUCUGCAGUCGAUACGAGCAAACUAGAGUGUUGCAGGGGAGACUGGAAUUCCUGGUGUAGCGGUGAAAUGCGCAGAUAUCAGGAGGAACACCGGUGGCGAAGGCGGGUCUCUGGGCAACAACUGACGCUGAGGAGCGAAAGCGUGGGGAGCGAACAGG
rnacentral:rRNA from 1 species